UAGCCAGGUUGCUUUGCAGCCAGGUUGCUUUGCAACAGCUAGGUUGCUUUGCAACAGCCAGGUUGCUUUGCAGCCAGGUUGCUUUGCAACAGCUAGGUUGCCCUGUAGCCAGGUUGCUUUGCAGCCAGGUUGCUUUGCAACAGCCAGGUUGCUUUGCAGCCAGGUUGCUUUGCAACAGCCAGAUUGCUUUGCAGCCAGGUUGCCCUGUAGCCAGGUUGCUUUGCAGCCAGGUUGCUUUGCAACAGCUAGGUUGCUUUGCAACAGCCAGGUUGCUUUGCAGCCAGGUUGCUUUGCAACAGCUAGGUUGCUUUGCAACAGCCAGGUUGCUUUGCAGCCAGUUGCUUUGCAACAGCCAGGUUGCUUUGCAACAGCCAGGUUACUUUGCAACAGCCAGGUUGCUUUGCAACAGCUAGUUUGCUUUGCAGCCAGGUUGCUUUGCAACAGCCAGGUUGCUUUGCAACAGCCAGGUUGCUUUGCAACAGCCAGGUUGCCCUGUAGCCAGGUUGCUUUGCAACAGCCAGGUUGCUUUGCAGCCUGGAUGCCCUGGUUGCAGGUUGACUGCAAGUGUGAUUAUUUUUCUGGUUUGUAACUGAAGAUAUUCUUGCUUUUGUUUCUCAGUUGGUUUUUAUAUCAUUUCUUAUGUCUCUUUGUUUUAUAAGAAAACAAUUAAAAGCAAAAUUUCCGA